GGAGCGGUAUCGAAGUGGUCGUAACGAGCCGCACUCGAAAUGCGGUUGUCCGUAAAAGGGCACGUGGGUUCAAAUCCCACCCGCUCCGCCA
rnacentral:tRNA from 2 species